rnacentral:misc_RNA from 1 species
GUCUGUGCUGGCCUCUUCGCGGGUAAACCCGCCCGUAGGAGCGGGUUCACCCGCGAAGAGGCCAGCACAGGC